rnacentral:lncRNA from 1 species
UUUGAUUCAUUUGACGGACUCACACUUUUUAAUCAAAUAUUGUUUAGAGCCUUCCUUUGACUUUACCACAAAGCUUGUCUUUCUUUUUCUAGAAGAGCAUCCCACUUCUUGCUUAAAUCUUUUCUCAACUACAUUUAUUUGCUAGUUAGUACAAAUUUAAUUUUUACAAAAAUAAAUAUAUCAUGACUUCAAGUAACAAUACUGAAGAGUCUCCAUCUUCUCAUG